rnacentral:rRNA from 1 species
AUUGAACGCUGGCGGCAGGCUUAACACAUGCAAGUCGAGCGGAGCGAGGGUGCUUGCACCUUAGCUUAGCGGCGGACGGGUGAGUAAUGCUUAGGAAUCUGCCUAUUAGUGGGGGACAACAUCUCGAAAGGGAUGCUAAUACCGCAUACGUCCUACGGGAGAAAGCAGGGGAUCACUUGUGACCUUGCGCUAAUAGAUGAGCCUAAGGCGGAUUAGCUAGUUGGUGGGGUAAAGGCCUACCAAGGCGACGAUCUGUAGCGGGUCUGAGAGGAUGAUCCGCCACACUGGGACUGAGACACGGCCCAGACUCCUACGGGAGGCAGCAGUGGGGAAUAUUGGACAAUGGGGGGAACCCUGAUCCAGCCAUGCCGCGUGUGUGAAGAAGGCCUUAUGGUUGUAAAGCACUUUAAGCGAGGAGGAGGCUCUUUUGGUUAAUACCCAAGAUGAGUGGACGUUACUCGCAGAAUAAGCACCGGCUAACUCUGUGCCAGCAGCCGCAGUAAAAC